GUCGAGAAUAUUUCACAAUGGGGGCAACCCUGAUGGUGCAACGCCGCGUGGAGGAUGAAGGUCUUCGGAUUGUAAACUCCUGUCAUCCGGGAGCAAGACCUGGCCGUGAAUAGCGGACAGGGUUGAUAGUACCGGAAGAGGAAGGGACGGCUAACUUCGUGCCAGCAGCCGCGGUAAUACGAAGGUCCCGAGCGUUGUUCGGAAUCACUGGGCGUAAAGGGAGCGUAGGCGGCGCGGUAAGUCAGAUGUGAAAUCCUAGGGCUCAACCCUGGAACUGCAUCCGAUACUGCUGUGCUUGAGCAAUGGAGAGGUAGCCGGAAUUCUCGGUGUAGCAGUGAAAUGCGUAGAUAUCGAGAGGAACACUCGUGGCGAAAGCGGGCUACUGGACAUUUGCUGACGCUGAGGCUCGAAGGCCGGGGGAGCGAAAGGGAUUAGAAACCCCGGUAGUCC
rnacentral:rRNA from 1 species